rnacentral:rRNA from 1 species
GUUUGCCUACGGGGCGCAGCAGUCGAGAAUCAUUCACAAUGGGGGAAACCCUGAUGGUGCGACGCCGCGUGGGGGAAUGAAGGUCUUCGGAUUGUAAACCCCUGUCAUGUGGGAGCAAAUUAAAAAGAUAGUACCAAAAGAGGAAGAGACGGCUAACUCUGUGCCAGCAGCCGCGGUAAUACAGAGGUCUCAAGCGUUGUUCGGAAUCACUGGGCGUCAAGCGUGCGUAGGCUGUUUCGUAAGUCGUGUGUGAAAGGCGAGGGCGCAACCCGCGGACGGCACAUGAUACUGCGAGACUAGAGGAA